GCAAUCUGAAGCUGGCGCGCGAAAACCGGACCGUCUUUCUGAGCCUGCUCGGCAUUUCCUGGUUGUGGUUUGUCGGCGCGACGUUUUUGUCGUCGUUCUUCCGUUUCGCAAAGGACGUGCUG
rfam:Burkholderia sp. STM 7183 genome assembly, contig: CYGY01000017